CCCUUAACUAUUAAAAGUUUUGUUUUGGUCCCUUAACUUACUUUUUGGUUUCGUUUUGGUCCCUUAACUAUUAAAAGUUUUGUUUUGGUCCUUUAACUUAUUUUUUGGUUUUGUUUUGGUCCUUUAUGUUAGAAUGAAUGUAUUAGAGUUAAGGGACCAAAACGAAACCAAAAAAUAAGUUAAGGAACCAAAACGAAACUUUUAAUAGUUAAGGGACCAAAAGAAAACCCAAAAAUAAGUUAUGGAACCGAAACGAAACUUUUAAUAGUUAAGGAA
rnacentral:pre_miRNA from 1 species